rnacentral:rRNA from 1 species
UACGUAGGGUGCAAGCGUUGUCCGGAAUUAUUGGGCGUAAAGAGCUCGUAGGCGGUCUGUCGCGUCUGCUGUGAAAACCUGGGGCUUAACCCCGGGCCUGCAGUGGGUACGGGCAGGCUAGAGUGCGGUAGGGGAGACUGGAAUUCCUGGUGUAGCGGUGAAAUGCGCAGAUAUCAGGAGGAACACCGGUGGCGAAGGCGGGUCUCUGGGCCGUAACUGACGCUGAGGAGCGAAAGCAUGGGGAGCGAACAGG